CCUACGGGAGGCAGCAGUAGGGAAUCUUCCACAAUGGGCGAAAGCCUGAUGGAGCAACGCCGCGUGGGUGAAGAAGGUCUUCGGAUCGUAAAACACUGUUGUUAGAGAAGAAAGUGCGUGAGAGUAACUGUUCACGUUUCGACGGUAUCUAACCAGAAAGCCACGGCUAACUACGUGACAGCAGCAGCGGUAAGACGUAGGUGGCAAGCGUUAUCCGGAUUUACUGGGCGUAAAGGGAACGCAGGCGGGCUUUUAAGUCUGAUGGGAAAGCCUUCGGCUUAACCGGAGUAGGGCAUUGGAAACUGGGAGACUGGAGUGCAGAAGAGGAGAGUGGAACUCCAUGUGUAGCGGUGAAAUGCGGAGAUAUAUGGAAGAACGCCAGUGGCGAAAGCGGCUCUCUGGUCUGUAACUGACGCUGAGGUUCGAAAGCGUGGGUAGCAAACAGGAUUAGAUACCCGGGUAGUC
rnacentral:rRNA from 1 species